ACGGGUGAGUAACGCGUGGGUAACCUGCCCUGUACAGGGGGAUAACAAUCAGAAAUGACUGCUAAUGCCGCAUAAGACCACAGCACCGCAUGGUGCAGGGGUAAAAACUCCGGUGGUACAGGAUGGACCCGCGUCUGAUUAGCUGGUUGGUGAGGUAACGGCUCACCAAGGCGACGAUCAGUAGCCGGCUUGAGAGAGUGAACGGCCACAUUGGGACUGAGACACGGCCCAAACUCCUACGGGAGGCAGCAUG
rnacentral:rRNA from 1 species